ensembl:miRNA
AAUGACACGUUUUCUCCCGGAUUGCUGUGAGCAGGAAACGCAACCGGGAAUUUCGUGUCAGCCA